rnacentral:rRNA from 1 species
CGAAACUAUUCUGAUAAAUUAAUUUUUAGCUUAGAGUAUAUUGAUAAAUGAGAUUUUCGAUAAAAAAGUUAAUAGCAUGGAUAACAUUAUCGGAGAUAGUUAUAGCUAAUUUAAGAGUAUCAUAUUCAAUUAAUUUGUAUAGGUAAAUCCUAUGCAUAGGGUCAUAACAAAAUUUUAUAAGUGUAAAGUAAUAAUUUAAGGUGAGGAGUACCUAUAAUAAAUAAGUGUUUCUACUUUAAAAAUUUAUAAAUCGUUUUUAUUUAAUUCUUUUCUUUUAAAUUAGAUUUAAAUAGUGCUGGAAUCAGUAGUACUAAUAAAGUUAUAGUGACUCGAAAAUAAUUCCAACUGUUUAGCAAAAACAUUUUCUUUAGAAAAGAUUAAAGAUAUAGCCUGCUCAGUGUUAAUGUAUAAAUAGCCGCGGUAUUUUAACUGCGCGAAGGUAGCAUAAUUAAUUGUCUUUUAAAUGGUGACUUGUUUGAACGGCUGAAUGAGAGUUAUUUUUUCUUUAGCUUUUUUCGAACUUAUUUUCUCGGGUCAAAAAACCGAGAUUUUUUAGAAAGAAGAGAAGACCCUGAUGAAUUUUACAGAAAUAAUUCUGUUUAAAUGGGGCGUUUCUAUUUUUACCAAAUUGUUUAUGAUCCUACUUUGGGGAUAAAGAUUUAAAUUACCACAGGGAUAACAGGACAAAAAUUGUUGAGAGUACUUAUCAAAACAAAAAAUUGUUACCUCGAUGUUGAAUCAAAAAUACUUUUUGGCGCAAAAGUUCUAAUAGUAGGUCUGUUCGACCUUUAAUAUUUUACG